rnacentral:rRNA from 1 species
UCGAGGAUCUUCGGCAAUGGGCGCAAGCCUGACCGAGCGACGCCGCGUGUGCGAUGAAGGCCUUCGGGUUGUAAAGCACUGUCGAGGGGGAGGAAAACCGAGCAAUCGGUCUGACCUAUCCCUGGAGGAAGCACGGGCUAAGUUCGUGCCAGCAGCCGCGGUAAGACGAACCGUGCGAACGUUGUUCGGAUUCACUGGGCUUAAAGGGCGCGUAGGCGGUCGGCCAAGUCGGGGGUGAAAUCUUUCCGCUCAACGGGAAAAGGGCUUCCGAUACUGGCCGGCUGGAGGAGGGUAGGGGCGCGCGGAACUUCCGGUGGAGCGGUGAAAUGCGUAGAUAUCGGAAGGAACGCCGGUGGCGAAAGCGGCGCGCUGGACCCUUUCUGACGCUGAGGCGCGAAAGCCAGGGGAGCAAACGGGAUUAGAUACCCCCGUAGUCC